rnacentral:rRNA from 1 species
AGCGAACGCUGGCGGCAGGCUUAACACAUGCAAGUCGAGCGCCCCGCAAGGGGAGCGGCAGACGGGUGAGUAACACGUGGGAACGUGCCUUUUGGUUCGGAACAACUGAGGGAAACUUCAGCUAAUACCGGAUAAGCCCUUACGGGGAAAGAUUUAUCGCCAAAAGAUCGGCCCGCGUCUGAUUAGCUAGUUGGUGAGGUAAUGGCUCACCAAGGCUACGAUCAGUAGCUGUUCNGAGAGGAUGAUCAGCCAC